AUGCUUAGGAAAAUGUUCCAAGGUAGUUCUUCAAGGAAGCAAGGACCCAGGCUUGCAAUGCGUGAUGCUGACGAUGAGCCACCAAGGGACGCUCCAGUGCGGCCUUGUGAAUGGCCUUCAGAAAACUUUAUGGAUCGAGCGGGAAUCAAGGAAGAAUUUAGCGCAUAUUUGCAUAAUGCUGAUCUUGUGAGCUUCGAGGCAGAGAAGUGCCGCCAAUACCACUAUCUCACUAGUUCAUUUGUGAGGAGGUUUGAAUUUUCAUCUUCACGUAAUUCUCCAACUGUCCUGUUUGAUCUCUAUGAAAAAUCUUAUACUAUGGACUUAGAGGAUUUUACCACUGCUUGCAAACUUCCACAAUGGGGUAGUGCUAGUGAACCUCGCAAAUCUGAAUUUAGAAAUUUUCUCGCUAGUAUAACUGUGGGGGAAUCUAGAGAUAUAGCACAAGCUACCAUAGGGAGCAUUCAUUUUCCUGCUAUACAUUAUUUUGCUCUCUUCAUAGGUAGGUGCAUAAAUGGUAAAGAUGAAGCAUGUCACAUGUGUGUCCCUGAUCUCAGUAUUCUUAGGAGUGCUGUCUUAGGAGACAAAUCUUAUAAUUUGGGAGCCAUUGUUGCACGUAGGUUGCAUCAUAAUAGAUUUAAUGGAGAUUUCUUUGGAGGAAUUUAUGCAACCCGCUUAGCUGAUUUUCUUGGUGUGGACAUUCGUGAGGAAUAUAUCUAG
rnacentral:rRNA from 1 species